AUGAACGCUGGCGGCGUGCCUAAUACAUGCAAGUCGAGCGAACGGACGAGAAGCUUGCUUCUCUGAUGUUAGCGGCGGACGGGUGAGUAACUCGUGGAUAACCUACCUAUAAGACUGGGAUAACUUCGGGAAACCGGAGCUAAUACCGGAUAAUAUUUUGAACCGCAUGGUUCAAAAGUGAAAGACGGUCUUGCUGUCACUUAUAGAUGGAUCCGCGCUGCAUUAGCUAGUUGGUAAGGUAACGGCUUACCAAGGCAACGAUGCAUAGCCGACCUGAGAGGGUGAUCGGCCACACUGGAACUGAGACACGGUCCAGACUCCUACGGGAGGCAGCAGUAGGGAAUCUUCCGCAAUGGGCGAAAGCCUGACGGAGCAACGCCGCGUGAGUGAUGAAGGUCUUCGGAUCGUAAAACUCUGUUAUUAGGGAAGAACAUAUGUGUAAGUAACUGUGCACAUCUUGACGGUACCUAAUCAGAAAGCCACGGCUAACUACGUG
rnacentral:rRNA from 1 species